AGCAGCGUCGUCUCCAGCGGCGGCGACGAGGGCUACGGGACCGGGGGAGGCGGAAGCAGCGCGACCUCCGGGGGCCGGCGAGGCAGCUUGGAGAUGUCGUCGGAUGGGGAACCCCUGAGCCGCAUGGAUUCCGAGGACAGCAUAAGCAGUACUAUAAUGGAUGUAGACAGCACAAUUUCCAGUGGGCGUUCAACUCCAGCAAUGAUGAAUGGACAAGGAAGCACUACUUCUUCAAGCAAAAAUAUUGCCUAUAAUUGUUGUUGGGACCAGUGCCAGGCUUGCUUCAACUCUAGCCCAGAUCUGGCAGAUCACAUCCGUUCCAUACAUGUAGAUGGUCAGCGAGGAGGGGUAUUUGUUUGUUUAUGGAAAGGUUGCAAAGUAUAUAACACUCCAUCAACCAGUCAAAGUUGGUUACAGAGGCAUAUGCUGACACACAGUGGAGAUAAACCUUUCAAGUGUGUUGUUGGUGGUUGCAAUGCCAGCUUUGCUUCUCAGGGAGGGCUAGCUCGCCAUGUACCCACACACUUCAGUCAGCAGAACUCCUCAAAAGUUUCUAGCCAGCCAAAGGCCAAAGAAGAAUCUCCUUCUAAAGCUGGAAUGAACAAAAGGAGAAAAUUAAAGAACAAAAGACGACGCUCAUUACCACGACCACAUGAUUUCUUCGAUGCACAAACACUGGAUGCGAUAAGACAUCGAGCCAUAUGCUUUAACCUCUCAGCUCAUAUAGAAAGUUUAGGGAAGGGACACAGUGUUGUUUUUCAUAGUACUGUAAUAGCUAAGAGAAAAGAGGAUUCUGGAAAGAUAAAACUUUUGCUUCAUUGGAUGCCUGAAGACAUUCUGCCUGAUGUGUGGGUGAAUGAAAGUGAAAGACAUCAGUUAAAAACUAAAGUAGUUCAUUUAUCAAAGCUACCCAAAGAUACUGCCUUGCUUUUGGACCCAAACAUAUACAGAACAAUGCCGCAGAAGAGGUUGAAGAGAACUCUGAUAAGAAAAGUGUUCAAUUUGUAUUUAAGCAAACAGUGAACGACAUUUGCAAUCAACUAAAAAUUCGUCUAUCAAAUUAGGUCUGAAAAUUACUGUUAAAGAGUGUUGCAGUAUGUCUGGUGGCUCCCUUUUCAGGACUAGGGCUUUCUCAUGGAGUACAGUAUGUUAAUAUUUACCUAUAUAACUAAUCUGUUAACGGUUUUUGAAAAACCUCUCUUUCAAAUUAUUUGAAUAAUCCUCAUAUUUUCAUUUAACCUAUAUGACUCUAAUUUUUUUCUGAGGAAAGCAUUUGGUUUUUGAGUUGUUUUUUCUUAAUGUAAGAAAAACUGUAUUUUUUUUAAAAGUUAUCUUCAAACUAAAUCCUUUAUGCACCAAAGUUGGUUUUGAAAAGGAAAAUAAAAUCACUUUCUUGCUCGGUAAGCAAGAAGCCAUAUGGAUUUUUUUUUUAACUUACAGAAAUGGAAAUAUGUGUAACUUGUUAGUAUUGUAUUAAACAAAUGUUGCAUAGAGAUAAUAGAACAUUGCUUGUAUAUAAUUCAGCAGAUUUGUAAUAUAUUUUUAUAUUUUCAAAUGUACUGUAGAUGUUUUUCUAGAGGCAUGAAAGUUAAAUGUAUAUAUUAUGGUAGAAAUAAUAUUGAAGGAUAUUGUAAUUCACUAGUGCUGCCAGAGGAAUUGUUAAUAAAGCACCUUCUUUAACAAUAAAUGUCUUUUGCAGACUUAAGGGACUAUGUACUACUGUUAUUAUCUAUAAGAACAAAAAACAUUGAACAUCCUUCCAGAAAGUCUUUGAGGGAGGACCCAUACCCAUAAUAGAAUUAUGGCACUCAUUUCUGACAGUGACCGUGAAAUCAAUUAUUUCCUUACUGUUGGAAGGACAUAUUGUAAAGUAUGUGGUUAUAUGCAGUCAAACUGCAGAAAAUGCUCCUGAUUGAGGAGUUUUCACUUCACUACAGUGAUAUAAAAACCAGCAGUUUUUACACUAAAUUUUUUAAAGAAAGAAUAGACAAAAAUAUAGAAUUAAAUAAGCCUUUGGUUCCAAAAUGAGAAAGAUUCCAUGGUACAUAAAUCAUUUCUCAUUUGCUUUAAAAAAUUAAAAAAUAAUAAAAACUAUGGGAGUCUUUAUUCGUUAACAGUGGGGGUAAAGAGCUAUAUACAUGAAAUGAGUCAUAUAAAACUAAAUGAAGUGCAAAUAAAAGCACUGCUACUAUAAGACAUUCUGGAAUGGUUGUUUAAUAAGGGUAUUAUCCAUACGAUCUGUAGCAAAUGUGAUUUUAUUUUUAAAAAGAAAAGAAAAGCAGUGUGUUUUCUUACAUUUUUUGUUUUCUUUUGCUUAAGCACUUCAUCAAUUGCUUUAUUCUGUAUCUUGCGAAGUAAUCUGCAAUCUCCUUUGUUCUUUUCAAAUUUUGAUUUGUUAUAAAAUUGCCAAAUAGAAGUGUUUCAGAUAUAUAGUUUGUACUUGUAUUUUUAUUUUAUUGCAUCAUGUUCUUGUAAGUCAUUCUUAAUUGACCAAUGAUUGUAGACCUUGCUUGAGUAUUUUUUCUAAUAAAACAAAGCAAAUUACAUUUAGCUUCAAA